rnacentral:rRNA from 1 species
AACGAACGCUGGCGGCAUGCCUAACACAUGCAAGUCGAACGAGACCUUCGGGUCUAGUGGCGCACGGGUGCGUAACGCGUGGGAACCUGCCCUUAGGUUCGGAAUAACUCCCCGAAAGGGGUGCUAAUACCGGAUAAUGUCUUCGGACCAAAGAUUUAUCGCCUUUGGAUGGGCCCGCGUUGGAUUAGCUAGUUGGUAGGGUAAGAGCCUACCAAGGGGACGAUCCAUAGCUGGUCUGAGAGGAUGAUCAGCCACACUGGGACUGAGACACGGCCCAGACUCUUACGGGAGGCAGCAGAGGGGAAUAUUGCACAAUGGGCGAAAUCCUGAUCCAGCAAUGCCGCGUGAGUGAUGAAGGCCGUAGGGUUGUAAAGCUCUUUUACCCGGGAUGAUAAUGACAGUACCGGGAGAAUAAGCUCCGGCUAACUCCGUG